rnacentral:rRNA from 1 species
GACGAACGCUGGCGGCGUGCCUAAUACAUGCAAGUAGAACGCUGAAGGAGGAGCUUGCUUCUCUGGAUGAGUUGCGAACGGGUGAGUAACGCGUAGGUAACCUGCCUGGUAGCGGGGGAUAACUAUUGGAAACGAUAGCUAAUACCGCAUAAGAGUAGAUGUUGCAUGACAUUUGCUUAAAAGGUGCAAUUGCAUCACUACCAGAUGGACCUGCGUUUAUUAGCUAGUUGGUGAGGUAACGGCUCACCAAGGCAACGAUACAUAGCCGACCUGAGAGGGUGAUCGGCCACACUGGGACUGAGACACGGCCCAGACUCCUACGGGAGGCAGCAGUAGGGAAUCUUCGGCAAUGGACGGAAGUCUGACCGAGCAACGCCGCGUGAGUGAAGAAGGUUUUCGGAUCGUAAAGCUCUGUUGUAAGAGAAGAACGAGUAUGAGAGUGGAAAGUUCACACUGUGACGGUAUCUUACCAGAAAGGGACGGCUAACUACGUG